rnacentral:tRNA from 1 species
CGGGACGUGGCGCAGUUUGGUUAGCGUGUCUGUUUUGGGAACAGAAGGCCAUGUGUUCAAAUCACAUCGUCCCGA